rnacentral:rRNA from 1 species
CGGACGGGUGAGUAACGCGUGGGGAACCUGCCCUGUACCGGGGGAUAGCAGCCGGAAACGGCUGAUAAUACCGCAUAAGCGCACGAAUGUCGCAUGACAUGGUGUGAAAAACUCCGGUGGUAUAGGAUGGACCCGCGUCUGAUUAGCCAGUUGGUGGGGUAAAAGCCUACCAAAGCGAAGAUCAGUAGCCUAGUUGAGAGACUGACCGGCCACAUUGGGACUGAGACACGGCCCAGACUCCUACGGGAGGCAGCAGAC